AUCCAACUGACGAGUCCCAAAUGGGAUGAAAGGUGCGUCCUGAAU
rnacentral:hammerhead_ribozyme from 1 species